rnacentral:rRNA from 1 species
CCUACGGGAGGCUGCAGUAGGGAAUAUUGGGCAAUGGAGGCAACUCUGACCCAGCCAUGCCGCGUGCAGGAAGACGGUCCUCUGGAUUGUAAACUGCUUUUGAAUGGGAAGAAUGUGCUCCUUGCGAGGGGUAAUGACGGUACCAUUAGAAUAAGCCACGGCUAACUACGUGCCAGCAGCCGCGGUAAUACGUAGGUGGCGAGCGUUAUCCGGAUUUAUUGGGUUUAAAGGGUGCGUAGGCGGCUUAAUAAGUCGGUGGUUAAAAGUAGCAGCUUAACUGUUUUACAUGCCAUCGAUACUGUUGAGCUUGAGAUAUUUGGAGGCAGCUAGAAUUUCCGGUGUAGCGGUGAAAUGCAUAGAUACCGGAAGGAAUACCAAUUGCGAAGGCAGGUUGCUACGAAUAAACUGACGCUGAUGCACGAAAGCGUGGGGAUCAAACAGGAUUAGAUACCCCAGUAGUC